CUCGACACCAUCAUCUCAAAAUCUUCAAGCAUCAGUUUAUUAAUCAAUGCAGUUCAAGCAUCAGUCUCUUACUUAAAUAUGCUCCCUUUCCACUUCUCAACCAAUGAUUCGGUAAUACAACUAAUUUCCAUCAUGAAUCCCUUGCACAAUAUUUAUGCUGCAUGCCAAGUUGCUUCAAUUAAAUGCACGAACCUUCAAAACCCUAUACAUACACAAAAGAACAAACUUUUGAUUUUACAUGCUUCAUCAAAACCUCUUCAAAUAUACAUAAAUAUAUAAGGCUUUUGGGGAGGAGUCAGGGAAAUUGACAAACUCUUUCAACCAAACCCACCAAAGCGCGCAUUUACACAAACAGAAACCCGACAUCACAAAUAUCUACUAAUUAUCCAAACAAAACUAAAAAUCAAGACUGCCCGAAAUCAUUGCACCAAGAAAACAAAUGAUUAUAUAACCUACAUACCUGAGGGAGCCACCAGGGGAAUUGACGAAAAGUCGAAUAUCCUUAAUGGGGUCCUAAGCAUCAAGCAAGAGAAGCUGGCUAAUAAGAGCAUCAGCAAGAAAAUCAUCAACCUGAUUUCCCAAGAAGACAAUCCUCUCCUUGAGCAACAAACCCAUGGCGUCCGUCUCGU
rnacentral:lncRNA from 1 species